AUUGAACGCUGGCGGCAGGCCUAACACAUGCAAGUCGAGUGAGCGGCGGACGGGUGAGGAAUGGAAGGGGACUGCCCGAGAGAGGGGGAUAACAACUGGAAACGGUAGCUAAUACCGCAUACUAUCGGAUAAAGCAUCUGGGAUUAGCUAGUGGGUGAGGUAAUGGCUCACCUAGGCGACGAUCCCUAGCUGGUCUGAGAGGAUGAUCAGCCACACUGGGACUGAGACACGGCCCAGACUCCUACGGAGGCAGCAGUGGGGAAUAUUGCACAAUGGGCGCAAGCCUGAUGCAGCCAUGCCGCGUGUAUGAAGAAGGCCCUAGGGUUGUAAAGUACUUUCAGUCGGGAGGCGUUACCGACAGAAGAAGCACCGGCUAACUCCGUGCCAGCAGCCGCGGUAAUUC
rnacentral:rRNA from 1 species